rnacentral:rRNA from 1 species
GGGGAAUAUUGGACAAUGGGCGCAAGCCUGAUCCAGCCAUGCCGCGUGGGUGAAGAAGGCCUUCGGGUUGUAAAGCCCUUUUGUUGGGAAAGAAAAGCAGCCGGCCAAUACCCUGUAUGGAUGACGGUACCGGAAUAAGAAGCACCGGCUAACUACGUGCCAGCAGCCGCGGUAAUACGUAGGGUGCGAGCGUUAAUCGGAAUUACUGGGCGUAAAGCGUGCGCAGGCGGUUUUGUAAGACAGGCGUGAAAUCCCCGGGCUCAACCUGGGAACUGCGCUUGUGACUGCAAGACUAGAGUACGGCAGAGGGGGGUGGAAUUCCACGUGUAGCAGUGAAAUGCGUAGAGAUGUGGAGGAACACCAAUGGCGAAGGCAGCCCCCUGGGUCGAUACUGACGCUCAUGCACGAAAGCGUGGGGAGCAAACA